GAUGAACGCUGGCGGCGUGCCUAAUACAUGCAAGUCGAGCGAACAGAUGAGGAGCUUGCUCCUCUGACGUUAGCGGCGGACGGGUGAGUAACACGUGGAUAACCUACCUAUAAGACUGGGAUAACUUCGGGAAACCGGAGCUAAUACCGGAUAAUAUAUUGAACCGCAUGGUUCAAUAGUGAAAGACGGUUUUGCUGUCACUUAUAGAUGGAUCCGCGCCGCAUUAGCUAGUUGGUAAGGUAACGGCUUACCAAGGCGACGAUGCGUAGCCGACCUGAGAGGGUGAUCGGCCACACUGGAACUGAGACACGGUCCAGACUCCUACGGGAGGCAGCAGUAGGGAAUCUUCCGCAAUGGGCGAAAGCCUGACGGAGCAACGCCGCGUGAGUGAUAAAGGUCUUCGGAUCGUAAAACUCUGUUAUUAGGGAAGAACAAAUGUGUAAGUAACUAUGCACGUCUUGACGGUACCUAAUCAGAAAGCCACGGCUAACUACGUG
rnacentral:rRNA from 1 species